AUGUUGGUGCAAAAGUAAUUGUGGGUUUUGCUAUUAAUUGUGAUUACUUGUAAUGGCAAAACCUGCAAUUACUUUUGCACCAACC
ensembl:miRNA